GAUGAAGAACGCAGCGAAAUGCGAUAAGUAAUGCGAAUUGCAGAAUUCCAGUGAGUCAUCGAAUCUUUGAACGCACAUUGCGCCCUUUGGUAUUCCGAAGGGCAUGCCUGUUCGAGCGUCAUUAUCACCCCUCAAGCCCUCGGCUUGGUGUUGGACGGUUUGGUGGAGGCCCCCUCGGGGGCUCCUGCCCCUCCCAAAGACAAUGACGGCGGCCUCGUUGGACCCCCGGUACACUGAGUUCUUCACGGGACACGUAUCGGACACAUGGGUUUACGGGACACGGUCUGCCUCCCCUCAGGGAGAAUCUUUCCAAGGUUGACCUCGGAUCAGGUAGGGAUACCCGCUGAACUUAAGCAUAUCAAUAAGCGGAGGA
rnacentral:misc_RNA from 1 species